UACGUAGGGUGCAAGCGUUGUCCGGAAUUAUUGGGCGUAAAGAGCUCGUAGGCGGUUUGUCACGUCGGCUGUGAAAACCCGAGGCUCAACCUCGGGCCUGCAGUCGAUACGGGCAGACUAGAGUAGGGCAGGGGAGACUGGAAUUCCUGGUGUAGCGGUGAAAUGCGCAGAUAUCAGGAGGAACACCGGUGGCGAAGGCGGGUCUCUGGGCCGAUACUGACGCUGAGGAGCGAAAGCGUGGGGAGCGAACAGG
rnacentral:rRNA from 1 species